GGUGGGGACCUCAUUCCUAUUCUGUUAGUUUGUUUGCUGAAGACUUUGAGGUUGUGCUUCAGUGGAUACAAGGUUUCUUAUCCUUGUCAUGGUUAAUAGUGUAGGAGUUAUAAUUUCCUCUUAGUUUUGUAAAACAACCCAGGAAAAACACAGAGGGGGCGUAGGGCAUCGGAAGAACUGGCCGAGGAGCUGGGAUGCCGGGGUUCAAAUCCCGCUUUCACUUGCCGCCUAUAGCCCGUGGCGCAAGUGGAGUAAUUACUCUGUGCCUCAGUCUUCUCAUCUAUAGUAUCCCCUGGGUCACAGGUUUUUAUGAGGAUUAAUGACGGUACUGAGAACGCCGCCAGACACAAUUAAGUACAAAGGUGUUUACAUCUUGCUGUUUGUCCCAAAGGACACAAGAUGGCGCUCCAAGCCAACCAAUGCUUAUUUUAGAAGCUUUGUCCCAAUUCCAUAGCCUUCCUGUAAUUAUUGAUUUCUUGUUAUUCCCUGAACCGUUUUUUUUUUUUUAAUCUCUUUGAGUGAACAGAAACCACUACCCCCACUGGCCAGACGAUGACCCUGAGGCCACUGGAAGCUCUGAGACCGCACGAAAUGGCCACCGUGGAAGGAAGGCUGACGCCAGAAAAAAACUAUUUGUGCAAAAACAGGAACGCCGGGACUGGCUCCUGCCUAACAGGGACAAGACUGCGAGAUUCCUGGUGGAGGUACAGCAGUUGUGCCGGUAAUGACAGUAAUAAUAAUAAAUCUGCUAACCGCUAUGCAGUGAGAAAUAAAAAUGGACACUAUGUACUAACAAGGAUUAAAGGAU